GGAAAGCAGGAAAUUGGUGGUUUCCAGUGUCACUAAUGUCCUGCUAAUGUCAAAUCUGAAAAUUGCCACACACAAGCCUACGUCUACUUUGCCUGCAAGAGCUCCUUAAAGAAUUUGUCAUGUCAAGAAUCACCUGUAAAAUGAAAAAGCAACUCAAAAGUACCCAAGAGGCCCAUCCACUUACUGGUGACAACUGUGCCAUUCCCAGGAAUAUCUCGGUCGGCUUGGUCAGCAUGCCCAGGAGAACACGUUCCACUUCCCAACUCCUCUCUGCACGGAACAAGAGUGGUCAGAACCAGGCACUUGGGCAGCACCCCCGGAACCAAGACGGAGGAGCUGGGCCGAGGAGAUACAGCUGGUACCUGGCCAAGCAGUUUUCCUCCGCAGCGCAUCUCAGGUUGUACAUGGCCGUCUUUUGCACGUACGUGGACGCCUGGAUGUAGUAGGGGUCGGGCACCAGGUCCGGAAGACCUAAACGUCAGCCAGGCGAUAGGCAAAACAGUGAGACAACUCCGCGGCCCUCACCCUGGCUCCGGGUCCCUCCAUGUCCCUUACUCCUCACCCUUCACCCAGCCGGACUGCGGUUGUAGGGCUGCGGCUAGCAGAAGAAUGGGGACGCCGAGGGCUGCAAAGCAAUGUGGAAAGAAAGCAGGAGGGGCCAGGCGCGCGGUUUGCAGCAGAUUCCAGGGCUGCCUCUGCAGGAGCAGGGGGAGGGAUGGGAUCUGCAUGGACUGAGGCCUGCCGCGCCCAGGCAGCCACGUCGGGGAGCCACAGAGUUGGGGAAAGGGUGCGCGGGUGUUUCCGGCGACUUGGGGGUGCUUACCAUAC